CUCCGUCGGUGGACACAGCAAACACACAGCAAGCACACACAUGUAUGCUUUAGCUUUUACACGAGCUCUUACACGUAAGAGUAGUUUUAACUCCCUCCUCUCUCCCACACGUCUCUUUCGCUCCCUGAUCCCUGCACAUGUAUGCAUGCACUUCUCUCCUGCUCUUCCUCCGCACGCCGAGCACGCCGCUCACCUCAUCUCUCUCAGCUUUCCUCUCUCUGUCGGCAUCUCAGUUCUCUUCUAGUCGCUCUUCUACUCCACCAAAGCAGCACAACAACGAGUAGCAUGCCUCCCCGCCAUCUCCGCUCGAUCUUUCCCUCCUGUCUUUCUUCUCUAGCAGCUCUCACGGAUCCUCUCUCUCCCUGAUCUUCUUCUGUUCUUUCUUCAUCCAUCGAUCGCAAGAACAAGUCGCUUCUCUCGGCCAACAAGCAAACACUAGCAGCUGCAACUCCAGUCGCCAUCUCGCUGCCCUUUCUCUCUCCGGCAGACCAUGCAGGAAGCAAAGCAGAGCUCCCUGCUCUCUGCUAGCAGCAGCAAGAAGCCGCCACGCCUUUCCGUGCCGCCGACCUCCGCCGUCGUGCGUCGCGGACCGGCUCCUUCGGCUCUCCUCCGUCCAGUCCGAAGCCACGAGCAGCACCAACAGCACCGCCGACGCCGACGCCGGCCACAAGUCGGAGGAGCUGCCGGGUCGGAAGCUGCAACGCCGCUGCGCCAACCACGACGACGACCACCGCGAGCUCGAGGAUGCCCAUGCCGCCGGCGCCGACCCGUUGAACCGCAAGCGAUCCGCGAGCCUGCCCGCGUCACCACGCCGGCCACGCCUUCACCGUCGACCCACGACAACGAGACGUUCGUGACUGCGCCAGACGCCGAGCGAGACACUGAGCUAUUACUUGAGAGUUGAGAAUAUGAACGAUUGGUAACAAGGCAAGCACCCCCUUGAUCAUUUUUGCUCCUAUUUAAAUUCCUAAGCCUACAAAUAUAUGCAUGCGAUGAUGAUUUUAUGAGUCCAAAUGUCAUUUUAUGUCGGGUAGACACGUCCUAUUUUAAUGCAUUUACAUUUCUUGUUAUUUUAUAUCUUUUUUAUACCUUGUCACCCUAAGGUUAUGGGUUAUUCGCGUAGUGCAGAGUCACAUGCUUAGUUGGCUUAGUAUUUUGUGCAGUAGUUAAUUAGCAUCACAUGGGUUGGUGUCUUUUAAAGAAAAUAUAUAUUUAUAAGGUUAUUUUUAAAGGAUAAAAACUUUAUGGUAGACGUGGGUGAAUAUAUGGUCUAGCGGUUUUGAUGGUAUGAGGAUGAAGGAAAAGAAUAUGGAUGGUAAAAUGGAUGGAAAAAAUGGAUGAUGGAUAUGGCUUGGUUCUGUAUGCGUUUCCGGCGCAUUUUAGGGAUUUAUCACCCGUGUCAAAUUAAGGAUCGAUAAUUGGCAUUAUUCUAGUCAAGUAUUACAGUGAACCAUACGGUUAAUGGGCACUGGCCUUAACUUAUUAAGUCAGUCGGCCCAAGAGGAUGCUACCGCCCGAGUGCUCGAGGAGCUCGUCGGUGUCGGGGUAGCUAACCCGGUCAGAUGUACGGAGCCGCGAUACUCCGAUAGUCUGUCGUGUAGCAUAUUUUGGGUCCGACUGAUGUAACGGCUCUGUCAUGUUAGCUUGCCGACACAUAUAAUGAAUUGUGUAUAUGCGUGCUGAUUCCGUGCUGGCAUCAAAGCGAAACAUGUCAUAUGGGUAAAGUGUACAACUUCUGCAGAGUGUAAAACUAUUCGAAUAGCCGUGCUUACGGUCAAGAGCGCUUGAGCUAGUCGCCGGUUUUAGAAGUUUUGGUUUGAAGGAUCAAAGGAUGAUGGACCGAUUAAGAGGAUCAAAGGUCUGCAAAAUGGGAAAUGGGGAGUCAUGAUUGGUGAUGUCAGUCUAUUUUAUAUAAAAUAAAAUAAUUUCAAAACUAUGCGUAUAAAGAUACACCCAAAUAAAAUGCAGCAUAGUGCUAGUGAACCUGUCAGCCUUCCUUGAUUGACCAUGCAUAUAUUAUAGGAUUUUUUGAUAUACAAUCGAAGUCUUGCGAGUACAAAAUUGUACUCAUUCUUGUUGCUAAAAUUUUAAAAUCCAGAGUUCGAAGAAAAGCCGUCUCAGUUCAGUUCCUUGCUGAAGGAUGCGGGUUUUCGACGAUGGUUCUUUCUAGGACUAACUCCCAGUCAGUUGCCUGUGGUAAUGGCGAGGCACACUACAGUAGGAUGGAAGUCCUAUAUUUCUGUUGCUUCUGCUACAAAUUAUUGGCUCUGAUUAAAUUAUAAUAUCACUAACAUAUUUUUGAGUGCAGUUGUGAUACCGGUGCUGUUGUGCGAAAAACAUGCGGACUGAUAAUGGGACAAGUACAGCAAGACACAACGAUAAACCGGGUAUUUAUACGCCUGGGGCCCACAAUUCCAAUCCCGCAAGCGAGCGCCAGCAAGCUUUGUAGCAAUCGAUCCACCUGCACGAAAUCAUUGCUGCCCUUCCACGUGUGUGUAGCCCUGCAACUGCUUUUCCCUUCCGUUUUCUUUUCCGCAUGAAGCAUCUCUUCCCUCAAAUCCAACUACAAUCCCUCCCGCAUUGAAGGCACAAGCUGUGUAUGUAUGUACGCAUGUAUGCUUCUCGUGCAUGUACAGAAUAUAUAAGAGCCUAGUUAUCUUGUUGGAAUCACAUUGCAUAUGUGAGAGCCUUAGCCACAAACUUCUAGAUAUUCAAACUCUAUGGUUAAUUAAUAUCACUACACACUGAUGUGAUAUGCCUAGGUAUCAAUUACUUUCUUUUUUCUUUUUCCUUUACAUUUUGUGAUACCUAGUAUUUACUUUCUUUUCCCUUUUUCAGUCUUUUUUAAUUACCUUCUUUAUGUUGUGUUUUUGAGUUGUUCUUCUAAUAAAUAUUUUGUACAAAACUUGCUAAAAAGUUAUAUCGAGAACUUAUACUUUUUACAUA